ACGUAGGGGGCGAGCGUUGUCCGGAAUGACUGGGCGUAAAGGGCGCGUAGGCGGCCGUAAAAGUUUCACGUGAAAGUCCUGCUUUCAAGGUGGGAAUUGCGUGGGAAACUGUAUGGCUUGAGUGCGGAAGAGGUAAGUGGAAUUCCCAGUGUAGCGGUGAAAUGCGUAGAGAUUGGGAGGAACACCAGUGGCGAAGGCGACUUACUGGGCCGUAACUGACGCUGAUGCGCGAAAGCGUGGGGAGCGAACAG
rnacentral:rRNA from 1 species